AUUGAACGCUGGCGGCAGGCUUAACACAUGCAAGUCGAGCGGAGCGAGGGUGCUUGCACCUUAGCUUAGCGGCGGACGGGUGAGUAAUGCUUAGGAAUCUGCCUAUUAGUGGGGGACAACAUUCCGAAAGGGAUGCUAAUACCGCAUACGCACUACGGGGGAAAGCAGGGGAUCUUCGGAACUUGCGCUAAUAGAUGAGCCUAGGUCGGAUUAGCUAGUUGGUGGGGUAAAGGCCUACCAAGGCGACGAUCUGUAGCGGGUCUGAGAGGAUGAUCCGCCACACUGGGACUGAGACACGGCCCAGACUCCUACGGGAGGCAGCAGUGGGGAAUAUUGGACAAUGGGGGGAACCCUGAUCCAGCCAUGCCGCGUGUGUGAAGAAGGCCUUUUGGUUGUAAAGCACUUUAAGCGAGGAGGAGGCGCUCUAGGAUAAUACCCUAGAUGCGUGGACGUUACUCGCAGAAUAAGCACCGGCUAACUCUGUGCCAGCCGCCGCCGUAA
rnacentral:rRNA from 1 species